CACGGAGUUAGCCGAUCCUUAUUCUUACGAUACCGUCAAGCUGAUUCACGAAUCAGUGUUUCUUCUCGUACAAAAGCAGUUUACAAUCCAUAGGACCGUCAUCCUGCACGCGGCAUGGCUGGAUCAGGCUUGCGCCCAUUGUCCAAUAUUCCUCACUGCUGCCUCCCGUAGGAGUCUGGUCCGUGUCUCAGUACCAGUGUGGGGGAUCUCCCUCUCAGGACCCCUACCCAUCGUUGCCUUGGUAAGCCGUUACCUUACCAACUAGCUAAUGGGACGCAUGCUCAUCUUUCACCGUUGUGACUUUAAUUAUAAAAUGAUGCCAUCCUAUAAUACUAUGAGGUAUUAAUCCAAAUUUCUCUGGGCUAUCCCUCUGUGAAAGGCAGAUUGCAUACGCGUUACGCACCCGUGCGCCGGUCUCUAUCUCCGAAGAAAUAUACCCCUCGACUUGCAUGUGUUAAGCCUGCCGCUAGCGUUCA
rnacentral:rRNA from 1 species